CCUACGGGAGGCAGCAGUGGGGAAUUUUGGACAAUGGGGGCAACCCUGAUCCAGCCAUGCCGCGUGCGGGAAGAAGGCCUUCGGGUUGUAAACCGCUUUUGUCAGGGAAGAAACGCUCUGAGUUAAUACCUCGGGGUAAUGACGGUACCUGAAGAAUAAGCACCGGCUAACUACGUGCCAGCAGCCGCGGUAAU
rnacentral:rRNA from 1 species